UACAGAGGUCCCGAGCGUUGUUCGGAUUCACUGGGCGUAAAGGGUGCGUAGGUGGCUUGGAAAGUUUGAUGUGAAAGCUCAGGGCUUAACCCUGAAAUGGCAUUGAAUACUGCUGAGCUGGAGGUUUGGAGGGGGGACUGGAAUUCUUGGUGUAGCAGUGAAAUGCGUAGAUAUCAAGAGGAACACCAGUGGCGAAGGCGGGUCCCUGGACAACACCUGACACUGAGGCACGAAAGCUAGGGGAGCAAACAGG
rnacentral:rRNA from 1 species